GCUGGGCAUGGUGGUGCAUGCCUGUAGUCCCAGCUACUAUGGAGGCCAAGGCAGGAAAAUCACUCAAGCCUAGGGAAUUGAGAACAGCUGGGCAGUAUAGCAAGACCUCUUUA
rnacentral:sRNA from 1 species